AUGGAAUUGAGUUUAUUUAUGCACACAUAUUUGUAAAAACAGGUUUAUUAACUUUUUUAGUUAUUUAAGCAAAUUCGCCACCGAUAUAUGUAUAGUGAUGUUGUCGCUGUAUUAGUCUCGUUGUAUUUACUUUAUCGCUUAUUGACAAUUUUUGUCAUAGAAUUGUUUUGUUCGAUAUAAUAAAACUCCUAUUGGAUUCAUCUUCGCCCAAUAUGGCAAAAUAUUAAGUCUCGACUUCAAUAUUAGGCUCGACCUUCGGUCUCGCCCAAUAUUGAAGUCUCGACUUAAUAUUUUGCCAUAUUGGGCUCAG